rnacentral:rRNA from 1 species
AUUGAACGCUGGCGGCAGGCCUAACACAUGCAAGUCGAGCGGAUGAAGGGAGCUUGCUCCUGGAUUCAGCGGCGGACGGGUGAGUAAUGCCUAGGAAUCUGCCUGGUAGUGGGGGAUAACGUCCGGAAACGGGCGCUAAUACCGCAUACGUCCUGAGGGAGAAAGUGGGGGAUCUUCGGACCUCACGCUAUUAGAUGAGCCUAGGUCGGAUUAGCUAGUUGGUGGGGUAAAGGCCUACCAAGGCGACGAUCCGUAACUGGUCUGAGAGGAUGAUCAGUCACACUGGAACUGAGACACGGUCCAGACUCCUACGGGAGGCAGCAGUGGGGAAUAUUGGACAAUGGGCGAAAGCCUGAUCCAGCCACGCCGCGUGUGUGAAGAAGGUCUUCGGAUUGUAAAGCACUUUAAGUUGGGAGGAAGGGCAGUAAGUUAAUACCUUGCUGUUUUGACGUUACCAACAGAAUAAGCACCGGCUAACUUCGUG